rnacentral:lncRNA from 1 species
UUUGACUUAAGGUAAUAAGCAGGUUGUUGAGAUUGCAGAAUCCGUCACGGGAGACAAGAAAGACAGAGCAGCCUAGUGCAAGCAGCUGUACUGUUUGAAUCCUUGUCCAAUUUGGAACUGGCAUAAACAGGUUAGGAUUUUUCAAAUCAAUAAGAAGGUCUUGCCUAUUUAAUCCGCACUAGUGGUGGCUAUUUCGACUGGAUGGUACAAUAGACGUGCAGUCAAUAAGAGUGACACCGUGGGGUGUAAUGCAGACCCUGGUUAUCGAUUAGUCUUCAUGUCCAAAUAAUAUGGUUGCUGCUCAAAAGCUGUGUCUGGAAAGUCUUGGGAGUUUCUGCAAUUGAAUGAGGCAAGCUGAUUGGUCAAGAGUUUGCUUUUGUCCUUUUGUAGUCCCGCCCAUUUCGAUCACGAAAGCAUUUCUGCUGUGUUUAUAUGUACAUUUUAUUGGCGUCAGUUCUAUGUAAUUAUAAGAUAUAAGCUCUUGGACAUUGUAUUUAGUACGUACUUAAUGAUAUUAAAAAUAGCACUCUUAAAACCUUUAGUACUAAGGUGGAAAGACCUACAAUUAUUCGUACUGGCAAAUAGAUUCCUAACUAAAGCAGCAUAAGAUUACAAAAAAUUCCAUGAAUUGAAGGCUUAUUUUUUAUUCUACUGCACUAUAUUUUCUUUUCCAACAGUCAAAUUAGGGAGCAUUCGUGGAGAAACAAUAACUUCAGCAGCGGUAUAAUGAUAUCACUGGAAAAUGAUAUUGCAACUAAAUAAAGACUGGUUGUAAUAAUAUAUGACGUUAUGCAUAAAAGAUAUACAGAUUCUAGAAUACAGGUUUUCAUGUUUAUUGACCAGAUGAAACAAUUUGUUGUUGUAUUACUAUGCAGGAAAAUACAAAAUUGUUUUCAGCGCCUAUAGGGUCCAAAACAAUAAAAUAACCCAUCAAGUUCUUGUCAUGAUUAGGUUUAAGCCGUGGGGUUAAGGUUAAGGUUGAUGAGAGUGAAAACUCUAAUUUAGAUACCAUUUAUAGAAAAAAGAGCCGUGAUGGUCAAGGAAAGUAAAGAACCUAAUUAAUAUAUGUUGGAUUCUAUUACGCCAAAUAACGAAGGAACUAUGAGAGUACUCAACUAGAUCGUUUGACUGCUAAGCUCCUCAGCUAUAUGCUUAAUUAUAAGAAAUUUUCAUGCCUUGAGCAGAAUAUUGGCAUUUUGUGUGGACAAAACACUAUAUAAACCAGUUAGAUCAUCCCAGUCUCCACACAACCAACAUUUAAUAACAAAACCAGAAGAGAAGAGGAACAAAAAACAUGAAGAACUCUAGCAUGGGAACAUCACUACUAUUGUUACUGGUUUUUGCUACUCUUACUUACUGUUCAGAUGCAAGAUUACAUGGUUGUCAGUCGAGUGGCAAAAUCAGAGGCAUAAAGCCGCCUCCAGGACAAUGUAAUCCGGAAAAUGACUCGGAUUGUUGCAAACAAGGAAAAAUGUACACCAUUUACAAAUGCUCGCCUCCUGUGACCGGAAACACAAAAGCUGUAUUAACACUAAAUAGCUUCCAAAAGGGUGGAGAUGGUGGUGGACCAUCGGAAUGUGAUAACCAAUACCACUCCGAUGACACUCCAGUCGUUGCCCUUUCAACCGGAUGGUACAGUGGAGGAGAUAGGUGCCUUAACUAUAUCACUGUAAGUGCUAAUGGCAAAAGUGUGAAGGCUAAAGUGGUAGAUGAGUGUGACUCUACUAUGGGAUGUGAUGACGAGCACGAUUAUCAGCCGCCAUGCCCAAAUAACAUUGUUGAUGCCUCUAAAGCAGUUUGGGAAGCCUUGGAUAUACCUGAAGGCGACUGGGGCGAGUAUGACAUUACAUGGUCCGAUGCUUAGUGCAGCAGUAUAGUAUUUAUAUAUGGUAUCCUUCUAUAUCAUGUGCAUACUCAGAUCAUGUGUAAUAUGUGGCUUAGAUACCAUUAAAAUCUCAUGUUUUCUUGUGAAAUUACAGUUACUGAAGUUCUGCUCAUAUCGACUUUUGAAAUUGUAAUAUGAAGUUUCCAUUCUAUGAAAGAGAUGAUUAUUGAAAUCUGAAAAAACAGGACUUGCAAUAGCUAAUCCAAACCUAUAAGGCAUACAACAGUUUGACCAAGAUCACUCAAUCAAUGUACUAGGCAUUAGUCUCUCUCUUAUAUCCUUCAAAGCUUGCAUCAGUUAGGCUAUUCUCCAGCUAUAUUUUGUACACGUGUCGAGUUAUGAAUUGGCGUCAAAUGGUUGAUUAUAACUUGGUCCAAUGCAUAGAAUCUAGAACAUGCUGUUGUAAAUUUGUAGUUCAAUCUAUUUAAUUUACAAAAGCAUUUCUAUAGUUUUUAUUGAUGAGUCGCGAGCUGGUGUCAACGAUAGGCUGGAGGUUUGGAGACAGACCCUUGAGUCUAAGGAUUUCAAGCUGAGCAGGACGAAGACGCAAUACCUGGAGUGUAAGUUCAGUGCUGAGCCGGUGGAAGUUGGCGUGGAUGUGAGGCUUGAAUCACAGGUUAUCCCAAGUAGAGGUAGCUUCAAGUACCUUGGGUUGAGUAUCUGGGGGGAGGGGAGAUCGACGAGGAUGUCACACACCAUAUUGGGAUAGGAUGGAUGAAGUUGAGGUUAGCAUCUGGAAUCUAGUGUGAUAAGAGAGUCCUACCGAUACUCAAAGGAAAGUUCUACAAAGCGGUGGUUAGACCGGCCAUGAUGUAUGGGGCUGAGUGUUGGUCUGUUAAGAACUCACAUAUCCAAAAGAUGAAAGUAGCAGAAAUGAGGAUGUUGAGGUGGAUGUGUGGGCAUACUAGGAUGGAUAAGAUUAGGAAUGAUGUUAUUCGGGAGAAGGUGCAUGUAGCUCCCAUUGAUGCCAAGAUGCAGGAAUCGAGGCUAAGAUGGUUCGGGCAUAUUAAGAGGAGAAGCCCAGAUGCUCCGGUAAGGAGGUGUGAACGACUGGUUGUAGAGGGCACGAGAAGAGGUAGAGGGCGACCUAAGAAAUAUUGGGGUGAGGUGAUCAAGCAGGAUAUGGCGAGGCUUCGAAUUUCCGAGGACAUGAAACUUGAUAGGAAGAUGUGGAGGUCGAGUAUUAGGGAUGUAGGUUAGGAGACAGUUGAGUCUUGCCUUACUUCGCACCUUUGUAAGACUAGUUUGGUAGAGUUUUUUGUUUAAGAUAGUUAGUAGCAAUGUUGUGUCUUACUAUUUUGCUUUUCAAUGCAGGACCUUUUGAUUAGCUUUCACUUUUACUUUGCAUCUUUCUUCUAGAUUUCAUAUUGUUCCUAUUUUUAUUACGAUUUCUGUGGUAAUACUAAUAUUGUCUCAUUUUUGUCUUUAUGUUUUCUUGAGCCGAGGGUCUUCCGGAAACAGCUUCUCUACUCCUUCGGGAUAGGGGUAAGGUCUGCAUACACACUACCCUCUCCAAACCCCACUAGUGAGAUUUUACUGGGUUGUUAUUGUUAUUGUUGUUAUUGUAUUUCUAUAUGUGUUUGCAAACUUUAUCGAUGACAGUUCUUUUUAGUCAUUAAUUUUGAUAUCAAUAAUGAAAAUAAGUUCUUGAUCAUUUCAUGUGUUCUGUUAUGCAACGCCUUCCUAAUGUUCUUUGGAAGGGCAACGUAAGGCUAAGCAACCGAUGUUAGUGCGGUUGAUGUCUGCCAAUGAAGUCCCCUCCGCACGCGAGACUAGAUUGUCAGUGUCGUGCGGGAAAACCAAUGUCACGAGCAAUUUCGGAAGCUGAGAGAGAAUUGAGUUUUGAAUGAUGAUGAUGAUUUUAUUGAUGAAUGAAAUGUUGAUUAUAAAAGAUGCGAUGUCGAGGGGGAGAGACACCAGUACAGAAAAUUGAUUGCUGAAAAUGUUUGAUUGCUUGAUCCCCCCUAAUAAUGCUUAAAAAAAAUAAACCAACAUUACAUGACUAGUCCUAAUAAAGUUGUGGAAGCACACUGAAUGAAAAUGAUGUAAACUAGACUAUAAUUACAAUGAAAAGGACUUAGUUUAUUACAAUGUAGAACUAAGUCUGAUGGCAGCAACUUUGUCUUGCGGGUCAGGGUCUGCGCGCGCGUUGCUGUGGCCGCGCGCGACACUUGCUGUGUUGGCCUGAGGCUGGGCGCUGGUGCUUGGCAUCAGGGUCUGUGCGCGAGGCGCUGCUGAAAUGGGCCUACAGCUGGAAGCUGGCGAGGCAUUAGGAUUUGCGCGCGCGGCAUUGUCAGGGCGUGCGGCGCUGUUGUCAUUGGCCAGCCACUGGGCGCUGGCGAGAGGCAUCGGUGGGGCGAUAGAAGCGCAUCCACGCUUGUCACUUGGCGCAACCAAGACCACGGGGCCGACCAUGGCGCUAGGCAUUGUGAGGCUUGCUAGGCCGCCAUGGGGCACGGCCAAGGGGUCAUGGGGCGUGUCUGGAAAGCAGCCCAUGACAGUUCAUAUGAGAAAAUAGCAUCCUUAAAAUCUUUACGCUCUAUUCAAUUUUGAUAUACCUGUCAACCUAUGGUUCCCACUCACUGACAAACAGAGACGGAGCUAGGAUUUGAAGUUUAUGGGUUCGAAAUUCUGGUCCAUUUAAGUUACUGGGAUAUAAGUUAAUAAUUUGUACAUAUUCAAUAAAUUUCUUAAAACAGAUAUAGAGUUUGUGAUAGAAUUGGUACAAACAAUGCGCUUACCCUAAACAAGGUAAGAGGGUUAAUUUGUAUUUAUAACUUGUCCUCUCUACAAGAAUAUAAGCAUAUUGUACAACUCCCUAAUGCAGUGUAAAUAAAUACAAGUGUAAGAGUAUAAUACAAAUCCUAUUCUCACACCCCCUUAGGCCCUCAAUCAACACAUGGAUGCACGUGGAGAUUGUCUCUAAGACAUUUAAACUUAUGGGAAACAAGACCUUUAGUAAAA